rnacentral:rRNA from 1 species
AUACGUAGGUGGCGAGCGUUGUCCGGAAUUACUGGGCGUAAAGGGCGUGUAGGCGGCUUUUUAAGUCAGACGUGAAAUCCCUGGGCUUAACCCAGGACCUGCGUUUGAAACUGGAAGGCUUGAGGACCGGAGAGGGCAGUGGAAUUCCCAGUGUAGCGGUGAAAUGCGUAGAUAUUGGGAGGAACACCAGUGGCGAAGGCGACUGCCUGGACGGCACCUGACGCUGAGGCGCGAAAGCCAGGGGAGCAAACGGGAUUAGAUACCCCGGUAGUCCUGGCUGUAAACGAUGGGUACUAGGUGUGGGAGGUAUCGACCCCUUCCGUGCCGCAGUUAACACAAUAAGUACCCCGCCUGGGGAGUACGGCCGCAAGGUUGAA